rnacentral:misc_RNA from 1 species
GCUAUGGCUAGGUGGGUGGUUGGAACUUGGAAGGAUGGAGGGAAUCCGGAUCUGGUGUGUGCGAUCUUAGGCAAGUAUACCAGUUGAGAGUGAGUCUUGAUGAAGAUGAUUGGAUGAUGAUGAUGAUUAUUAGCUUUGAUUUACCCUUUGUUCAGAUAGAGAAAAAUGGAGAGAACAAGAAGAAAAAAAUUUUAAUUUUUCAAAAUUUUUUUAUUUAGACAUUAAAAAAAAAAAUGCCAAACUUGUAUCGAAGUUAAAUCGAAAUUGAAUCAAUCAAUUCUAAUAUAAUUCAAUACCUAUU